GUGGAGGGGCAGGGAGCAGAGGACAACAAAUUGGAGUGGUGAGAUACAAAACAAAAACACUUCAAUCUAGCAGGUUUUGUAACUAGGAUUUCUAUAUACAAUAUAAGGCAGCAAGAAUAUCAUUCUUCAAAGGAACUGUUAACAACAGCGAUGCCUGGGGACAAACAACUGAGGUUCCUGGAGAAUCCACAUAUUCCUUUAAAUAAUUUCUACCUCGUGAUUUAGGACUAUAUUUUUAUAACAUAACCUUUC
rnacentral:lncRNA from 1 species